rnacentral:rRNA from 1 species
GCAUAUCAAUAAGCGGAGGAAAAGAAACCAACAGGGAUUGCCCCAGUAACGGCGAGUGAAGCGGCAAAAGCUCAAAUUUGAAAUCCUGCGGGAAUUGUAAUUUGAAGGUUUCGUGGUCUGAGUCGGCCGCGCCCAAGUCCAUUGGAACAUGGCGCCUGGGAGGGUGAGAGCCCCGUAUGGCGCACGCCGACUCUUUGUACACCGCGGCUCCGACGAGUCGAGUUGUUUGGGAAUGCAGCUCUAAGUGGGUGGUAAAUUCCAUCUAAAGCUAAAUAUUGGCGAGAGACCGAUAGCGAACAAGUACAGUGAUGGAAAGAUGAAAAGCACUUUGAAAAGAGAGUGAAACAGCACGUGAAAUUGUUGAAAGGGAAGGGCUUGCAAGCAGACACGGUUUUACCGGGCCAGCGUCGAAAAGGGGGGAGGAACAAGAACUCGAGAAUGUGGCGCGCACCUUCGGGCGCGCGUGUUAUAGCUCGUGUUGACGCCUCCAUCCCUUUUCGAGGCCUGCGAUUCUAGGACGCUGGCGUAAUGGUUGCAAGCCGCCCGUCUUGAAACACGGACCAA